rnacentral:rRNA from 1 species
GAGAGAACUCUCGUUAAGGAACUCGGCAAAAUGACCCCGUAACUCCGGGAGAAGGGGUGCUGACCGCAAGGUCAGCCGCAGUGAAUAGGCCCAAGCGACUGUUUAUCAAAAACACAGGUCUCUGCAAAAUCGAAAGAUGACGUAUAGGGGCUGACGCCUGCCCGGUGCUGGAAGGUUAAGAGGAGAGGUUAGCGCAAGCGAAGCUUUGAAUUGAAGCCCCAGUAAACGGCGGCCGUAACAAUAACGGUCCUAAGGUAGCGAAAUUCCUUGUCGGGUAAGUUCCGACCCGCACGAAAGGCGUAACGAUUUGGGCACUGUCUCAACGAGAGACUCGGUGAAAUUAUAGUACCAGUGAAGAUGCUGGUUACCCGCGACAGGACGGAAAGACCCCAUGGAGCUUUACUGCAGUUUGAUAUUGCGUGUUUGUAUCACAUGUACAGGAUAGGUAGGAGCCGAAGAUACCGGGACGCCAGUCUCGGAGGAGGCAACGGUGGGAUACUACCCAUGUGAUAUGACCACUCUAACCCGCUGCUCUUAGCGAGCAGGGAGACAGUGUCAGACGGGCAGUUUGACUGGGGCGGUCGCCUCCAAAAAUGUAACGGAGGCGCCCAAAGGUUCCCUCAGAAUGGUUGGAAAUCAUUCGUAGAGUGUAAAGGCAGAAGGGAGCUUGACUGCGAGACCUACAAGUCGAGCAGGGACGAAAGUCGGGCUUAGUGAUCCGGUGGUUCCGCAUGGAAGGGCCAUCGCUCAACGGAUAAAAGCUACCCAGGGGAUAACAGGCUUAUCUCCCCCAAGAGUUCACAUCGACGGGGAGGUUUGGCACCUCGAUGUCGGCUCAUCGCAUCCUGGGGCUGUAGUCGGUCCCAAGGGUUGGGCUGUUCGCCCAUUAAAGCGGUACGCGAGCUGGGUUCAGAACGUCGUGAGACAGUUCGGUCCCUAUCCGUCGCGGGCGUUGGAAAUUUGAGAGGAGCUGUCCUUAGUACGAGAGGACCGGGAUGGACACACCGCUGGUGUACCAGUUGUUCUGCCAAGAGCAUCGCUGGGUAGCUAUGUGUGGACGGGAUAAACGCUGAAAGCAUCUAAGCGUGAAGCCCCCCUCAAGAUGAGAUUUCCCAUCACUUUAAGUGAGUAAGACCCCUGAGAGAUGAUCAGGUAGAUAGGUUGGGAGUGGAAGUACAGCGAUGUAUGGAGCGGACCAAUACUAAUCGGUCGAGGACUUAACC